rnacentral:rRNA from 1 species
UACAGAGGGGGCAAGCGUUGUUCGGAUUCAUUGGGCGUAAAGCGCGUGUAGGCGGCUUCUUAAGUCCGAUGUGAAAGCCCGGGGCUCACCCCCGGAAGUGCAUUGGAUACUGGCGGGCUAGAGUCCCGGAGAGGCAGGCGGAAUUCCUGGUGUAGCGGUGAAAUGCGUAGAUAUCAGGAGGAACACCCGUGGUGUAGACGGCCUGCUGGACGGCAACUGACGCUGAGGCACGAAAGCGUGGGGAGCAAACAGG